AGUAACUGAAAGGUCGAUGGUUUGACUUUAGGGUGGUAGGUAGUCUAGUGUUGGGCCAGUAACUGAAAGGUCGAUGGUUUGACUUUAGGGUGGUAGGUAGUCUAGUGUUGGGCCAGUAACUGAAAGGUCGAUGGUUUGACUUUAGGGUGGUAGGUAGUCUAGUGUUGGGCCAGUAACUGAAAGGUCGAUGGUUUGACUUUAGGGUGGUAGGUAGUCUAGUGUUGGGCCAGUAACUGAAAGGUCGAUGGUUUGACUUUAGGGUGGUAGGUAGUCUAGUGUUGGGCCAGUAACUGAAAGGUCGAUGGUUUGACUUUAGGGUGGUAGGUAGUCUAGUGUUGGGCCAGUAACUGAAAGGCCGAUGGUUUGACUUU
ensembl:lncRNA